UUCCAAGAUCCGUGUUAGAAGAUUAUAUGAUGGCUCUUUAAACGUUUGGUAAUGUCUCUACUUCAUCUGAUUGCAUUGAGCUUAGCUUCUUCUUCGCAUAGAUAGUGCAGACUAUAGUCGCGCUCGCAGUUACACAGAAACCAAGAACAUUCACUACUAUCUCCACGACCGAAAGAGUGACGCUUGCGGUUACACAGAAACCAAGAACAUUCACUACUAUCUCCACGACCCAAAUAGUGUGUCUCUUAUCUGAUGCAACAGCUAGCGUUCUCAGCAUUAUUCCCCUGCCAAAAACCAAAAAACACCAGUUCAAAGAUUCUGCGGAACAUGACCUUAACAUAGAAACAGAGUUAGA
rnacentral:lncRNA from 1 species